rnacentral:tRNA from 1 species
GCCAAGAUAGCUCAGCUGGCAGAGCAGCGCACUCGUAAUGCGCAGGUCCUGGGUUCGAUUCCCAGUCUUGGCU